GCGGGGAGUAGGGCACGGCGAGGGCGGGCCUUGGAGGAGGGCCUGGAGUCCUGCGGCCGGCCUUGCUGACUCCCUCCGUGCCCCGGAGGCCUUGCUCAGGACCAUGCUGACGCGCUAAACCUGUGCAGCAGCCUCCAGAAGAGUCUUGCCUGCCGGCUCUGGCCGCAGCCCCUCCCAGGCCCCCCUAAAGGACUGGGCCGGCGGAGGCUUUCGAAGCGGCCAGAAGGGGACAGUGCCAUCGCGUGGAAGUGGCGGGAAUCGCUGCUGGUCCUUGAGAAACCCAGUGGGUUUGGGGAAAGGGACUGACUUCUCUUGCGGGUUCAUCCAAGUCACACCCUGAGUGCCCCCGGCAGGCCGGCGCUGGCCUAGGGCUGCAGAAAUGAAAGGCCCUAUCUGUUCAGUCUAGUAGAGGGGAGGGCGACGCCGAAGGAACCGGAAGCGCGGCGGCGUUGGGCCAUGGAGUAAGCUGGUGGGAGCCCUCAGGAAGCUUCAGGCAGCUGAUAGGAGGCCCUUCCACCACCACCGUCCUUACGAACAUGAAUCAUGUCCAGGCACAGGGGCACAGCCAAACAAGAGGGAAUCCAGGCCCUGGCGGAACUUACGGCCGUAAACAGACUUUCAAAAAGACCUUCCUUUAGAAUGACCAACUUACCAUUCCCAUCUUGGAGUUUGCAGAGCACUAUUAGUGUUCUGAGAGAGUGCUCAGCAGAAGUGGGAGACCAGAGAUCCGUCUGCCACAGAUCCUCCAACCCUCUGAGGCCCAGAGCUUCGAGCCCGAUGCCAUGCAAAUGGGAGAAGCUCAGACAUCAGUGAAACUCCACUGGUGGCCCAGGCCAUUUGGGGAAGAAUACAGAGUGAGGCCAGGGUACUGCUUCCCACCCUCCCACCGCACAGCUUCCAGGCAGGCACCUCCAUCCAUGACUCCCUUUUGCAGGCCAUCCUUGUUGUCGGAAGUCAAGAGCAACUCCACAAUACCUCGGUCCUCCAAGGCCUGUGGGGGAAAAGAAAACAAGUCAACAUGUCGUUCCUCAGAGUUGGGAAGGGACAGUUAGAAAAGAAAGAAGGAAAGUUUCAAAAUAAAUUAUUUACUUCACCACAGAAAGUAGACAGAAACCUAUCCUGUUUAUGUUCAACAUGUUCAACAAAGCUCCUAUCAGCUGAAGUCCAGCUGAGGCAGGGUCAAGGCUGUCAGACUCUGGCAUCCCUUGGCUGCCACAGAUCUGGUGAGGGGCCAGUUCUGACUAAUGUGCUGUUCCUAGACAGGCCUACACAGAGGCCAGCUUGCAGGGGGUCCAUGAGCAGGUCAGGACCUCCUGACCCUCCAGCCACCCCACAUCAGAAAGAAGCAGCCCAUCCCUCCCCCACACCGGGCCAGGGUGGGCUCUGUUCAACACAGUCACAUGCCCAAGACAUGCUGCAUGUGCCCAGGAGAACAGGAAGAUCUCCUCGAAAGUUGUCAAUCAAAUGAAGAAGUAGAAGGAGCACACACUGCGCUGAAAGGCAGUAACCAUUUUACUACUCAGAGUAACUGCUACAUUUAUGAACCACUUACAAUCAUGGCAGGCCUUCUGCUAAAUACUUUACAUAGACUGUCCUAUUCACUCUUCGCAAUAACUGUACAGACAGAAACAACAGAAGCUGCAGAAGUUCAAUUCGUUAAGCAGGGUGAGAUUUUUAUUAAAAUCUGGACUCAGCAUCUCACAACUCCCAACCCAGUCAUUUGCCGAUAUAUAACAGGCUUUGCCUCAGUUCCUACUUUACACAUACAGCCUCGUGUUGGUUGGGAGGGUGUAACCUUCUUUUACAGCUGUACUAUUUACACUUGACUUUUCACAGGCAUUAAUUUAUUGACUGCAUACCAUAAGGGGUAAUUACUAUUUCCUGAGCACCAGCGAACUGUCAAACAGAGUUAGGGGUCUUGUGUCUGUAAUCUCACUUCAUUCCCAGAGCAGCCUUAGAGAAAGGCAUUCUUGACUCCACUGAGCACAUGAUGAAGCUAAGGCUCAAAAAGGUCAGCUGUUUGACCCAAGGUCAUCCUAUGCUGAUGGUGUCUGUAUAUCUGCAAUAUCCAGGAAAAGCUGCAUGGCAGCUCUAGGAGGGGAUCCUCCCAAGAGCUCAGGAUGACGGAGGAUGACAGAAGCUGCAGCUUCUCUUUGUCCACCUGUCUCACAUGUGGAUACCUUCCCCAGACACCAAGGAAGUUGAACUGGAGAAGCCCCUGAAGGAUUGCACUCUCCUCUCCACCCAUCAGCAGAGCUCUCCUUCUCUACAGCUCAGGACUCAGUAAACACCUUCUGGAGAAACCCCAGCAUUUGAGAGACAGUCCAAGGAAAGGAGUUACAGUGGGAGAAGCCCUCCUAUCCUGAGGCCUGGCUGAGAUCUCUCUAGUUAAUUCAAAGGCAAAGAGGAAGCUGGAAGUGUGAUCUAAACAGGCUGCAGUUGGGCUUAACUAUCAGAAUGGAAGCUAAUUCUGGAGCUCCCCUUCCCAGCUUUGGGAAUGCCUCUUCCUGGAGACAGGCUUGCUCCCUAGAGACAGGCUUUCUGCAGGUGAUAAGAAAGGGGCAAGACUACAUGAGAGCCUAUAAUCUGGAGCACUUGAGCCUGUGUGCAGGGACUGAAGUAAUUUCCAAAUGGAAAAUGAAUCUGCCUAUGACAGCAGAAGAGAUGCUGACAUCAAGGGCCAAAGCUAAAGCAGCUUUAAUUAGGUGGAUUCCCUAAGGCCACUUACCAUUUCCUCAGCCCACACCAUGGCCCGCCCUUCUAAGUACUAUAAAACCACUGCCAAUAAUCUAUCAAAGUCUUAUUUACUGACUAGUUACUAUACGGCUAGAAUAGUCCUGAGCCAAGUGAUCUCACACACAUGCACAAUUCAGAGAGGCAAAUUCUCUCAUUAGUCCCACUUCAAAGAAGAGAAAAUGGAGGUUUAGAAAAAUUAAGGCAUUUGCUCAAGGCCUUAGCUACAAAUGGAUAGAACCCAGAGCAGAGUAUAUCCCUGUUGUUUUAAGUGUCAUCUAACCCUGCCCUACCCUGAUCUGCCACACAUUAAAUCAGUGGUUCUCAAAAUAACCCACACAUUGGAAUAAGAACCCAGAGAUUCUUAUUUAAUUGAUACAGUACAUGGCCUGGGCACAGGGAUUUUUAAAGUGAUGUUCAAAUGUUUAAAGUGAUGUUUAAUGUUCACAUGAAGCUGGGAACCCUUGCAUUAGAUGCUAGAAUGAGAGCAGCCUCUGCAGAGAGACUUCACUUGUCAUCACACUCAAUGAAACCCAUCCCUUUAUUUUCAGCCACUGCGAUACCAUAUAUGUGCUACAACCCACAAUUAGACUCAAUUGAUAAAUGGUGAUAAAAGUGAUGACACCACUGAAAUAAAAGUACGGUGAAAGGAUUCACCAUAUGUGAAAUAUGCUAGGUGAAAGGUGCUAGGAAAUUAAUAAAUGGUGCUAGGAAAUGUAGUAUUAAUAUGAGAAAAGAAUUAGACCAACAUCACAUCAUAGCCCAUAUUACAUUUCAGAGGAAGGAAUAUGAAGAAAUAAACCAAAAUGACUCUUACUUUCUUGAUGUAAGGCAUAUAGGCAGGGUCUUUGUUAUAGGAACCAUAUUCAUUCUCCACCUGCACAGCAAUGAUGGGGCCUCCAUGCUUAUACUGCGAAAAGAGAAAUAAACAAAAGCUGAGUUUGUAGUGGAAACUGUACUAAUUUCACCACACUUAUCACCAAUUACCAGCAAAAUAUUGCAUUUGAAAACAAAAGUCUCAAAAGAUUUGGUAAUAUAAUUGAGACUGAUGUCAGUAGGACACAGAGUAGGUAGGGAGUUCCAGGUCCUCAUUCCCUUAUGGGAACAUCAAAUAAACAAUUACAGGCCAACUAAAAUAACUUUUUAAGAGCUCUGGAAACCAGUUAAAUGUUUAAGCAAAUCAAGAAAAAUGCAUGUUUAAAAGCAUAAGAAAUCUCCUGGUGUUUUUCUUCACCCUUGCCCCACCUCCUCGCCAGCAUAGCAUGGCAUAGUCAGAAAAAAGCAACCCAAUCCCUAGUUCCCUCCCUGAAGACAGAAGGAGAAAAAUGAAAUUUGUUUGCAAUAUUCUGGACUGUCUAUAGGCUUCCCAUUAGACUAGUUUCUGUCUCAUCUGACUUGGAGCUCAUACAGGAAAUGGCAUAGCUUGGACCUCAGGUUGGAAGCUAUACAAGGCAAUGAAGAUCACAACAUGUGAAAAUUUCAGGGGGGUGUAAAGGCCCAUGUAUGCCAGGUGCAAGGGGUUAUAGAUAGAGGAAUAUGAUAGAACACCUAAGGCCACAAAAAAAAGAAAAGAAAAACUGAGGUGAGACUCUUUGGGAAAUUAAGACAUGUAAAAGCAGCCAAGGAAAAUUAGGAGG